rnacentral:misc_RNA from 1 species
GUGAAUCAUCGAAUCUUUGAACGCAAAUUGCACUCUCUUCGGAGAGUAUGCCUGUUUGAGGGUCAGCCUAAAAAAAAAAUCGACAUAUUUGCUGUUACCCGGUAACAUUCGUCGGAAUUUGGUUAAUUUUAACCUUUUGGGUUUAAGCGCUUUAAAUUUUUCUUUACAAUUCCAACAACUUUCCUAAAUUUUUAUUUUCUAUUACUUUUAAGU